UACGUAGGGUGCAAGCGUUAAUCGGAAUUACUGGGCGUAAAGCGUGCGCAGGCAGUUUUAUAAGUCAGAUGUGAAAUCCCCGAGCUCAACUUGGGAACUGCGUUUGAAACUGUAAGACUAGAGUGUGUCAGAGGGGGGUAGAAUUCCAAGUGUAGCAGUGAAAUGCGUAGAGAUUUGGAGGAAUACCAAUGGCGAAGGCAGCCCCCUGGGAUAACACUGACGCUCAUGCACGAAAGCGUGGGGAGCAAAC
rnacentral:rRNA from 1 species